UACGAAGGGGGCGAGCGUUGUUCGGAUUUACUGGGCGUAAAGGGCGCGCAGGCGGCUAUUUUUGUCAGGCGUGAAAGCCCCGGGCUUAACCUGGGAACUGCGCUUGAGACGGGAUGGCUGGAGAUCGGGAGAGGAGAGUGGAAUUCCCAGUGUAGAGGUGAAAUUCGUAGAUAUUGGGAAGAACACCGGUGGCGAAGGCGGCUCUCUGGGCAAUUCCUGACGCUGAGGCGCGAAAGCGUGGGGAGCAAACGGG
rnacentral:rRNA from 1 species